UACUUGAUGUUGAUGCACACACACAGCCACUCGUCUUUCUUCUUCUUAGACUCAGCCGUCCUGUCAGAUCUAAUGCAAGGGAAUAUUAAUAGCACACACUGCUUGACAGUUAUUUUAAACCGUUACGCACUGGUGAGAUUGAAACGAAAGAUACUUAGUUGUGUUGCUUUCUAUUGGACAGCAACAAGGCUAAUGGUUUGACACAACAAAUCCAUCACAUUUUGACAGCUUAUAUACAAUGGAUCAGUUCGAGUUUAUGAACUUGCAGCAGCCAGCUAACGAGUCGACAGCGGCAACUAGUACCACUACCAACAUCAUCGUCACCACCCAACCACAAAUCGUAGGUCAAGGAAGAACGAUUCCUCCUCCCAGAAACUGGAUUAGUGGAUUGUGUGCCUGUUUUGACGACUGCACUAGCUGUCUCCUCGCAUGCUUCUGUCCCUGUUUGCUUCAGUGUAUGAUCGCCCAGGACAUGGGAGAAUCCUGCUGCAACGCUUUCUGUUACGUUUGCUGCAAUACUGCCUCGCACUUUGGUCUCCGAGUUUUCAUGAAGGGAAGAGAGAACAUACAGGGAAGUCUGAGCUACGAUGCUUCCAUUACUUCCGGAUGUCUGAGUCUCUGCUGCUACACAUGCGCACUUGCUCAGUUGGCGCGUGAGAUGAAGUUUGUCAAAAGCACGAGAAUGUUUUUCUGAUGCCUGUCACAGGAAUAUGAAAUAUAUAGGCUUAUAAUUACUCAUAAAAAUGCAGUGCCGGGUUUAAGUAUUUAGGAAUUCAUAUGCCUACAUACUAAUGACCUCCUUUCAAAUACAUUUAAUAGUGAUACGCGAUACGUCGAAAGAAUGCGUUUUCCCCUAGAGACAUAUUUAGGCCUAGUCACAAUUCAGUUUAGCUUCCUUUAAUAAAAUUUAAGAGGUACCGUUUUGCAUAUCUUUUUGCUCAUAUAAAAGGUUCCUCUUUAAGACAUAGAUCUAGAUCUAGGACCGAGGUCAUUAUUUAGGCAUACUUAGACAAAAGUUAAAAAAAAUUGUGGAGGUAAUGUAAAUAUACAAUUACUCGGCGCGGAUUAAUGACAAGUAGAUUUUAACAUACAACAAAUACAACCAUCACUCACGGUCCACUGGCAUACAAAAAUAAUAAUUAAAAAAAAAAGCUCGUCACAACAAAUUGUGUAUAUUGAAUAUAGCGAUUUAAGGUGACACCCAGGAACUUAAAUGAAAUAUAUGAAUUUUAUUAAUAAACUAUACAUUUAUUUGAAUCUAUCUGUUUUCCAAUAAAAAAAUUAACUGAUAAAAUUUCAAGUGAGCGUACCUGUGUCUGCAACAGAGGACAAGUUUGAACAAUUUCUGAAUGAUGUUAACAUUAAUUGUUGUGUACAUAUGGAACUUACGGUUUUGUCUUAUGUGUUUUUGGCAAUGUAAUCUUGUACUGAAUAAUAAAAAAAGUAUUUUAUGUU